rnacentral:tRNA from 1 species
CAGUCGUGGCUUACUGGUUAGGGCUUUAGGCUUGCAACCGAAGGGUUGCCGGUUCGAUCCCAGUGGGAACGGCUGA